rnacentral:rRNA from 1 species
UCCUGAAACGGGGAUUAAUACCGCAUAAUAUGCCGAGGUGCAUGACUUUGGUAUUAAAGCAGCAAUGCACUUAGAGAUGAGUGUGCGUCCCACUUAGGUAGUUGGUGUGGUAACGGCUCACCAAGCCUAUGAUGGGUAGCCGGUCUGAGAGGAUGGUCGGCCACACGGGCACUGAGACACGGGCCCGACUCCUACGGGAGGCAGCAGUAAGGAAUAUUGGUCAAUGGUGGAAACACUGAACCAGCCAUGCCGCGUGGAGGAAUAAGGUCCUACGGAUUGUAAACUCCUUUUGACGAGGAAGAAAGUGUUAGAUUUAUCUAAUUUUGACGGUACUCGUAGAAUAAGCACCGGCUAACUCCGUG